CAGGAAGAAGGCGUCCCGGGAUAUCCGCCCCCUACCCGCCCAACGCGCCAACGUUCCGCUGUGCUCUGAGAAACCGGAAGUGGUCGGACCCAAGGCGGAGGGACCUGGUGGAGCGAAGCCACUCCGUGAGGCGGUGACGAUGUUAGCAGAGAGGGUGAAUAAGUUGGACGUGGACAAUUCACGCUUUCGAAAUACAGAAAUCACCUUGUGAGAGUACACAAGCUGGCAGUAAUCCUUUCCUGUAUGUGCGUGUUUGUCCGAAGCAGAUGGGAGGUCUCCGGCUGGCCCCUCCGUCUGCUCAGCGAAGGGAUGUCCCCAAGCUGCGUGCUCCCCUUUUGCACUCAUUCCUGAAGGACAGAUUCCUCUAGACACCCUCCAGCGUCGCUGACUUUAUAAAGCGGAAUAAACGGAACACGUGACUUUGUAA